GGGUGGGGGUGAUAGUGUAGGGGUGGGGUGAUAGUGUAGGGGGUGGGGGUGAUAGUGUAGGGGGGGUGGGGAGCAGGGGGGGUCUGAUCGUGGAGAGGGUGGCGUGACUUGGCUCUUUGAAUACGGCGCCUCACAGACGAGGAAUGGCGCUCGAGGGAGAAUUCUGUAGACACUACACCUCCACGCAGCGAGGAACCCGACACCCUGAGCCUCUCCCUGUGGGUGCCCCGGGCUGGCAUGGUGGAAUCCUACCCCCUGACGCGAUGGUAUUUUCCUCCAGGAGUUCAAAAGGUGAUGGGUCGAGGACUGACGCUGCGCAGCCCGGCUGCGGUGAGUCGUGAUAUUUCCCAACAUUAUUCAUAGCCUCUUUUCAUCCAUUGCUUCUUCUUUAUGACACUGACCAUUCAGUCAGAGUGUAGAUCCGAGGUUCACUCCAACGUCACUCCGCACCAUGAGGGGAUCUCAGAGGGAGCUGUUCCCAUGAUAAUACGAGUCAGAAAUGUGGUCAUAUGUUUUUAGCUGUAUUGGAAUUCGUAGGCUAUAUGUUUCUUUUGGUUGUUUACAGAUACACUCUAAUAUGUUUGAAUAAAGAGGGCCAUGUACUGUACGUUGAACAUGUAUAACAAUGUUCUUAUAUGUGUUAAUUACAGUAGUCUAUGUACGUAAGUAAAUGUUUAUUAAUCUUGUAAAAGCACAUUGAAUUAAAAGCAAUAUUCAAAACCACCAAAACACAACGGCUCAAGGUUUUAUAACUCGCUUUGCAACAAUUCUGAAGUUAUGAACAUCGAUGAAUAGUAUGUAACGAAUAUUGUUAAAUAGGCUAGUAUUUAAAUUAGUACUUGUUAAACAAUGUGAAAAACGUGACACACACCGUCCCCACACAUGUAACCACGACGAGCAUCCUUUGAUGUGGACUGGGGCUUUUGCUGUGAUAUUUUGCUCCGCACGAAGCACUGACGCCCAGUCUAAAUACCUGAUACUACCCAUUUCCCAGUAAACCAUUACUUGGCCCAAUUACCUCUGAAUCCAAAAGCAAUAUCCCCUACUUAUGAGAGUGUUAAUUAUAUGAUUAGGGUACUUGGCUAUGUUGAGACACUUUGUUGCUGG
ensembl:lncRNA